UACUUCUUUUGUCCCACGUUUUAGAUAUGAUAGCUAAUUCUAUUUUUGUGUUUACCAAGUACAGUUUUGCUUGUACAACGUUGGAAGACUUAACCUCAGUUUGAUUAAUAUUGGUUGAAGUAUGAAACCAUUAUUGGGAGUGCAUCGAAGAUAUAAAGAAGAUCGAGGAUGAUUCAAGGAUGCGGUGUGGGACAGGAAAUUGCUUCAAAAACCUAACAUGAUUUUGCACCUGAGUCUGACAUCGUAGAAGGACCAUUCUUGCAUCAGAUUGGAUUUUGCACCCGAGUCUGACAUCGUAGAAAGACCAUUCUUGGAUCAGAUUGGAUUUUGCACCUGAAUCUGACAUCGUAGAGGGACCAUUCUUGCAUCAGAUUGUAGGUAUUAAAUUUCUUUAUCAUUUUCCUAAAUAACUUUUGUGAUUAUCUCACAAAUUGACCCCCAA